rnacentral:rRNA from 1 species
GAUGAACGCUGGCGGCGUGCCUAGUACAUGCAAGUCGAGCGAAUGGAUUAAGAGCUUGCUCUUAUGAAGUUAGCGGCGGACGGGUGAGUAACACGUGGGUAACCUGCCCAUAAGACUGGGAUAACUCCGGGAAACCGGGGCUAAUACCGGAUAACAUUUUGAACCGCAUGGUUCGAAAUUGAAAGGCGGCUUCGGCUGUCACUUAUGGAUGGACCCGCGUCGCAUUAGCUAGUUGGUGAGGUAACGGCUCACCAAGGCAACGAUGCGUAGCCGACCUGAGAGGGUGAUCGGCCACACUGGGACUGAGACACGGCCCAGACUCCUACGGGAGGCAGCAGUAGGGAAUCUUCCGCAAUGGACGAAAGUCUGACGGAGCAACGCCGCGUGUGUGAUGAAGGCUUUCGGGUCGUAAAACUCUGUUGUUAGGGAAGAACAAGUGCUAGUUGAAUAAGCUGGCACCUUGACGGUACCUAACCAGAAAGCCACGGCUAACUACGUGCCAGCAGCCGCGGUAA